UUCGGUGUCUAAAUCAAUUCGUACCGAUUUUAAAAAUAUCUUCUCAAAACAUCUUGAAUAAAUAUCUCACCACUUGUUCUCCCACUUGCAAUUCACCACCAGCUUUCUUUUCUUAUUCAUUUUCUUUCUUUCUCCUUCAUUCACGUCCCUUAUUUUCUUUUCCUGCAACACUUCUUCUUUCUUUCAUUUUCUUUUGCUGAAGCAACCCAUAGGAUAUUUUGAAUUCAGAUAUUUUCUAUCUAUCCUCGUCACGUUCUUAUCUGCUUCUUCUCUAUCCUUUCCUUUACAUAUCUGAAUGAUUAUUAUCAUCACAUUUUGGCACAGCAUAAUCCCAAUCCCCUCACCUCUCGACCCAUUCUCUCUUCUCACCACCAACAUCACCAUUCUUCUUCGUUUUUGUCUCUUCUUGGCAGCAAGCAUCACCGUCAUCUUUCUUUCCCUUGGCAGUCCACGCACACCAUGUUUCUUCUUCUACAAAUCACGUUUUUCUUCUCCUUUCUUCUUCUUCAUUACUUUUCUUUUCUCCAUGGCUGGCCAAACGCACCACAACCCUCUGUCCUUCUUCCUCACGUAGCUCCCUUGGACAGCCACAGUAACCAUAAUCUCUAUGGACUUAUAUGGGUACGAAGGACGAAAGCGCCUUGCGACGAAGCUAAAGAAUAGAAGGAAGCGAGCCGACGCGAAAAACAAAGAUGUGAUAGGAUUGGAGUUGCAGUUUAGGAAGAAAAUUGGCUAAGAUGUCCAUUGCGGACUGGUUCACAAUGGUCCACCCUUUGGGGGGGAUCAGAUAUGAGGUGAUUGACCAGGAUGACCCCGGUUCGUGGGUGGUAGACCCCGCUAGCCAUCGCGCGACGUACUCCGGGAGGAUCAUGGAGGACCAUGUAGAUAGUGGAGGACUCUUGAGGUCAGGAGUGCUGCGGAGAUGCUCUGUCAGCUUCAACUUGCCACCGAGCGUUCACUGUGGACCAGGAUUUGGAGGAGCACCGCCGCCACCGUCAUCUUCAGAGGACGAGGAUCCCUCAGAGGAGGAGCCAGUGGGAGUGCCUUCGGCAGAGUCCAGUUCACCCACCGUUGCGAUCAUUGAUGAUCAGGGUUCGGGCCCUAAGCCCGUGAGUACAGCAUCGGAGCGCAUCGCGGUUGCGAGGGGAGGACGGAUAGGGUUGGUAGACUUAGUCGUUCUGGAUUCUGAUUCAGACGACAAUCAUGCUAGCACGUAGGUUUAGUGCUGGUGUGAGCUCCUCGAGUUAGGAUUAGUGUAGGAGUAGAGUCUUAGCUCUGACAGUCUUUGCUUCAUUUGUUUCUUUGGGGACAGGGUAGUUCCGCCUAUAGCUUUUUGUGUGGUUUCUUUACGGGAAUCACAGAGAGUUGGUUGGACUUAGGAGGUCUUAUUUUCAGACCAUUGGGUCAGCUUAUUCUCAGUUUUGAGGGAUGGUGUUGCGGACACUUCACCUUUUCAUUUGGUUUGUACAUAUUGCCUACGGGCGCUACUCUUCUAUUACCCGUCACUGGAGGUUUACUCGUGACGAAGUUGCUACUUACAGCGGGGGCUGUUAUAUAUUUUGUAUAUUAGUUUUAUUGCUUUUCGCAUUUGGGUUUUAUCUAUUUCAGUCUUGUCUUAGUUAUUAUCGAAAAAAAUAUUCACGUUUUUCCGCAUUAAGUUUACUUUUGGUUACUUAAGUGACGCCACCGAAAUCGGGGUGUUACAGAAACUCAGGGGAUUACUCUCAUAGCUACCGAUAAUAUUUUUUGGUAUAAACAUCCGGUACCAUGUCACUCUUUGAAUGCUGCCAGAGUCUUAAGACUCUUUAAUCUUCAUCCCUCCCUAGAGUGUAUUGUGUGAGAGUCAAACCAGAGAGCUCUUCCCACACGUACACU